rnacentral:rRNA from 1 species
UACGAAGGGUGCAAGCGUUACUCGGAAUUACUGGGCGUAAAGCGUGCGUAGGUGGUUCGUUAAGUCCGAUGUGAAAGCCCCGGGCUCAACCUGGGAACUGCAAUGGAAACUGGCGGGCUUGAGUGUGGCAGAGGGGGGUGGAAUUCCGCGUGUAGCAGUGAAAUGCGUAGAGAUGCGGAGGAACACCGAUGGCGAAGGCAGCCCCCUGGGCCAACACUGACGCUCAGGCACGAAAGCGUGGGGAGCAAACAGG